rnacentral:lncRNA from 1 species
GGUGGGCCAGGAAGGCAACCAGCCAGAGAUCAAGAUUGCACCUGUCCCAAGACUGGAAGACUGGGUAUAAAAACAGAACAGUGGACACAACUCCAAGAGAAGGUUUUGACCAAAUGUCUUGAAUCAUAGAAGAUUUGACUGUAAACCUACUCCACAGUUUCUAUUCGGUGGAUGAUUUUGCUGAACUGAGCUAAGAUAGAAUUGGAUAUUGAAGAGCUAAAGUGUGUUGACUUUUAAAAAUUUUUUAUAAGCUCAACUUUGAUUUUAGAUUCAGGGGAUACAUGUGCAGGUUUGUUACAUGGCUGUAUUGCGUGAUGCUGAGGUUUGGCGUGUGAAGGAUCCUAUCAUCCAGAAUCCUCCAAACAACCUCAAUGAUCAGCCAAGUGGAGCUGGGGAAGUGGAGCUCUGCACCCAAGCUGAGCUCCAAGUGCCAAGAGCAAAUAGAAGAGCUGGGAAAAGAAGCAACUUGUCAGCUGUAUUUCUGCGAUGGAGUCUCACUCUGUCGCCCAGGCUGGAGUACAGUGGUGUGAUCUCGGCUCACUGCGAUUCUCCUGCCUCAGCUGGGACUAUAGGUGUGCACCAUCACGCUUAGAACUCUCGGUUCUCUGGCCUUCAGACUCCAGGACUUGCAGCAGUCACUCCCUGCCCCUCGCAGGUUCUCAGGGCUUUGGCCUUGGCCUGAGAGUUACCCCGUUGGCUUUCCUGGGACCCGACCUUGCAGGACACACAUUGCGGGACUUCUCAACCUCCACAGUCACCUUCCAACGCAUGCUUCCUUCCACCACAGGACUCCUGCCAGUGCAGCCUGGAGCCCAAGCUCACCGUUCCCUCCUGUGGGACGCGUCACAUUCGAGACAUGGGUGGUAUUUCUCGUGCCACCCUGGUGCCUGGGCUGUACUUCUGCAAAGCUGCCUGUUAAUUGCCUGCUCUCAGGGGCCAAGGGCUUCAGAAAUGGGUUUCUUCCCUGUUGAUGCUUGUUCUCCAGUUCCCUGCACCAAUCCAAAUAGUAGAAAAAACAUAUGCCUGUUUCAUCAAGAAAAUACUGCUCCUGUGUUUUGGCAUUUAUGGCUGAGUUUUAAGAUGUAA